rnacentral:lncRNA from 1 species
UUAAAAUUAUGGAAAAUGUCCUAGGAAAGAGGGCUGGUCGUGCCAAAGGGUUGGGUAUGGGGGUCAUACCACCCCAAUCUUCUCGCAAACCCGAAUCUUCAGCUAAUAGAGCACUACUUGAAGAACUAAAACAGUGCAAGGAGAAGCUUCAAUGCUAUGAGGAGCGAAUUCAAGCACAAGAUACCCAAAUCCAAAAUCUUGUACAAAGCCAGCAAGGGAUACAAGAAAUGCUACAAGAAUUCCUCAUUUGGAAACAGAAGCAGUGUGGAGGUUCUUCCUAGUAAUGGUGAGUUUGUAGAUCUUUAUUCGAAACAAAUGCAUUUAUGUGCAGUUACUUCAGCAUAGUAAUUAUUCUUGUAUUGCUUGUCCUCAUGAUUAGGUGGUCCCUAAGCAAUUUGUAGUGAUCAUCCAUGCAUCAUAACAAAAAUACAUCUUUUCCAUGCCAUUCUAUUGUUUCUCUGAUUUCAGAUUUUUCUUGGUUUUAUUGUACAGGUUUGGGAUGAACGUUUGGGACUGCUUUUGGCUUUUGGCUUUUGAGUUUGGGAUAAACUCAACAUUAUGGACUGCUUUUGGCUUUUGGACUGCUUUUAGCUCAUACUGAAGAAUUCCUCUAUUUUGAUAUCAUCCAUCUCUAGUAUUUUGUUGACCAUGGAAUUGAAGUCCAUCUUUUGAUUUUAGCACAUGUUAGGUAUAUGGCAGUUAUCUAGGGAGAAAUAGCAAUAUUUAUAUUGGUUUCAAAUCAUGGAAUGUAAUGAU